rnacentral:rRNA from 1 species
UACGGGGGGGCAAGCGUUGUUCGGAAUUACUGGGCGUAAAGGGUGCGUAGGCGGUCUGUUAAGUUGGAUGUGAAAACCCGGAGCUCAACUCCGGGCCUGCAGUCGAUACGGGCAGACUAGAGUGCGGUAGGGGAGACUGGAAUUCCUGGUGUAGCGGUGAAAUGCGCAGAUAUCAGGAGGAACACCAGUGGCGAAGGCAGGAUCUCUGGGCCGUAACUGACGCUGAGGAGCGAAAGCUGGGGAGCAAACAGG